CCAUGUGUUGGAGUCUGCCACAGCAAGAUGAAAGAUGCAGCUGUGCAACACAUCUUCCUGGUCCGUACACUGGACAGCUGCACACAGCAAUAGGGACUACCCACUGCAUGCUGAAGUUUUACGUUCCUAAAAAGUCCCCACCAUCAAGGGAGGCUAUCACUUUGUAAGGACAAGUGAAGGCAGCAUGUGACAAAGCAGAUGCAAACUAUUUGUCCUUGUGGAGACUCUGCCUUUGUUCCCCUUCAUCUUGCAGUUUCUCUUAAUCUAAACUAAAAGCCUUUCAGCUUGCAUAUGUGACUCUCCUCAGGACUGAAACAAUGUGUGUAUGUGGGCUGAAAAGGAGACGAGAUAGAUGAGGUAAGAAAAAUGCCAAAGUGUUUAAAAAUGCUAAAACCUGGAAUGUAUUCCCAGAAUUUUUUGUCACAUCUAGUGGAAGAUUUGUUAACAGUGUAUUUAUAUUUAUACAUGCAUACAUACAUACAUACAUAAACAUCUAGGCUGUAUGUAUUGAUUCAAUAAUUACUUAGAAAAGUAAUUGGCUCCUAGACCUGCCAGAUCAAAAAAGAAAAAGAAAAAGAAAAAGAAAAAAACA